AAAAAAUUUGCAGAUGAUUGAGGAAGAAAGAUAUGCUGCAGCUGUGGAAUUGAGGAGACAGUAGGGAAAUGACAGCACUUCAACUGUGUCGACUGCCACUCUCACCUGCUGCAACCCAAUCCUCCUCCUUUGGUCACACCCUUUCAUGUUCAUUUCUAGCUCUAGUGACAAAACCCUAUUCACAAUUCAAAGGAGGAAAACCAGAGGAAAAACUGUACGGAUCCGAAAGGAGGAUCUUACAGAAACGCAACUACCCACCUCCUCACCUGCCCAAAAUCAACAGCAGCAAGAACCUGACCUCCAAAAAGAGAAAAGGCUUGUAUCUCGCAACUGAUACAGUACCAGUCCAUGGACCCAACUUUAUUCACAGACACUGCCAUAGCAAUGGCAAAAUUAUCCCAUCCCAGAAUUUGGUGGGAGAAAUGUGGACAUAGCUUUCCUGAACUGCAGAAGCAACCGAUUCAAAUAUUGAGCUAGGGUUGUAAGCCCGUUUGCUGCCAUAAAUUGGAUGAUAA